rnacentral:rRNA from 1 species
AUGGUGAUCGUAUUGAACUACGGUCACAUCUAUAAUCAAAAGAUGGGACUUUCGAUGACAGUUGUGCCUCAGUGGAUCGAGACAAAAGGUCGCAUGUCAAUGGUUAGCUUACGACCAAGAUUUCCUACAUUGCACAUGAGUGCAUUCAGGAUUUCUGAAAGCGAAGAAUGCUUAAUAGUGAAAGAUUGGAGCAAAAUUGUUAACGAUCGCAGAGAAGUACUAGGGGGCAGUAAGGAGAAGCGCAACCCAAGAUUAGGAGACAGAUUCAUCUGCAAGCUCCAGUAUGAUGAAUCAGGAGAGCUAUACAUGUUCUAUGCUAUUCUACCUGAGAGGGAGCAGCAGGAUCAGUAG